GAACUCCUGUGUGCUUUCUUUUACAGGGAUAUGGCUCACCCUUGCCUCUCCUGACUGUGCCGUUCAACUUGAGGACUUCUAGCUACACCAGAUGACUGCACGGCAUCCUCAGGCAAGAGCUCUACACCCAUUACAUUAGCAGCCAAGGCAACAGAAGAAACUCUUACAUGCGAGUUAAAUGUAAUUGCCGUAGGGCAAAAUGCAGUCCUUUGAACUAUGCUGUGAUGUUCCUUUACAGGUCCUUAAGGGGAUGGCCCACUUGGGCAUCCUAAUCCGCGAGUUCAGAAGAGUGUCUUCGACCUUCAAGCUCGAG